rnacentral:rRNA from 1 species
GAUGAACGCUGGCGGCGUGCCUAAUACAUGCAAGUCGAGCGAACAGACGAGAGUGCUUGCACUCUCUGACGUUAGCGGCGGACGGGUGAGUAACACGUGGGUAACCUACCUAUAAGACUGGGAUAACUUCGGGAAACCGGAGCUAAUACCGGAUAAUAUUUAGCUUCGCAUGAAGCAAUAGUGAAAGACGGUUCUGCUGUCACUUAUAGAUGGACCCGCGGUGUAUUAGCUAGUUGGUGAGGUAACGGCUCACCAAGGCAACGAUACAUAGCCGACCUGAGAGGAAGAUCGGCAAGGAGGGCAAGGAGACAGGGUACAGAAGCAAAAGGGAGGCAGCGGGAGGGAAUCGUACGAGAGGAGGGAAAGGCUGAAGGAGAAACGCAGCGGUAGUAAAGAAGGAAAACGGAUCGGAAAACAACGUAAGGAAGCAAGAACAAACGCGUAAGAAACUAGGCGCGUAGCGACGGGACAGAAGCAGAAGGAAAAGGCUGAAGGAGCG